rnacentral:rRNA from 1 species
GACGAACGCUGGCGGCGUGCUUAACACAUGCAAGUCGAACGGAAAGGCCCUGCUUUUGUGGGGUGCUCGAGUGGCGAACGGGUGAGUAACACGUGAGUAACCUGCCCUUGACUUUGGGAUAACUUCAGGAAACUGGGGCUAAUACCGGAUAGGAGCUCCUGCUGCAUGGUGGGGGUUGGAAAGUUUCGGCGUUUGGGGAUGGACUCGCGGCUUAUCCGCUUGUUGGUGGGGUAGUGGCUUACCAAGGCUUUGACGGGUAGCCGGCCUGAGAGGGUUACCGGCCACAUUGGGACUGAGAGACGGCCCAGACUCCUACGGGAGGCAGCAGGGGAGAACAUUGCGCAAUGGGCGGAAGCCUGAUGCAGCAACGCCGCGUGCGGGAUGACGGCCUUCGGGUUGUAAACCGCUUUCGCAUGUGACGAAGCGUGAGUGACGGUAAUGGGUAAAGAAGCACCGGCUAACUACGUG